rnacentral:rRNA from 1 species
UCUAGUAAUGAUAGCGAAGAGGUCACACCCGUUCCCAUGCCGAACACGGAAGUUAAGCUCUUCAGCGCCGAUGGUAGUUGGGGGUCUCCCCCUGUGAGAGUAGGACGUUGCUAGAC